UGGCCUAGGUCCUAGAUGGCAAGAACACCCCCAGAAAACUAGCUCUUAGAGAAGGAAAGAACCAGGAGAUUGAACAUUCCUUAACAUGAUAGUUUCUACAGCUCGCAUCAAAGUUUUCAACGAUCAAUAUCUCCACAAUUUCUCUGUCCAUACAUCAAAGAAUAUAAACCAGAUUGAAACUCCAUGCAGCCUCUCAUAGCAGUGAACAUGUAUACUUCUUAGCUCAUUCAAAAACUAAAACCAUCAGACCAAUCCACAUGUGAGCUUUAGAUUAAGAAAUUAUAAGGGCGGUAUUGCUGGCCCAAAUUCGUCGAGCUUUUAUAAUUAAGCAUGCUUUGUCUCUUAUCUUUGUUAGAUCACAUGGCAUUGACCAUAGAGAGCUCAGCAAAGCUUACUCAGAGACCAAGUGAUACAUAAAUUAGGACCAUCAAAAACAGGAAUCUUGCAUGUGCCAAGGUAUACACCAAAGAAAUGUUCUUGCAUUUGCUUGAAUUUCAUUCUUAUCAGUUAUACUUAAUUAUGUCCAAUCAGCUAAGUUGACAUUUUACUCAUAAAUGAAGGAAUAGUUCUUCUGACGUUCUAAAAUAAUAGUAAGUAAAACAUAAAGAGAAUAGUCAAAAACAGAAAGAGAAUCAAAGUUGUGUUAAUGUCCUUUUUGGAGCCAUCAUGGUCCUUUGGCUUCAACAGUUUUG
rnacentral:misc_RNA from 1 species